GACGAACCGAGCGAACGUUGUUCGGAAUCACUGGGCUUAAAGGGCGCGUAGGCGGGCUGUCAAGUCUGGGGUGAAAUCCCGCGGCUCAACCGUGGAACUGCCUCAGAUACUGACGGUCUCGAGGGAGGUAGGGGCGAGCGGAACUGAUGGUGGAGCGGUGAAAUGCGUUGAUAUCAUCAGGAACUCCGGUGGCGAAAGCGGCUCGCUGGACCUCUUCUGACGCUGAGGCGCGAAAGCCAGGGGAGCAAACGGG
rnacentral:rRNA from 1 species